rnacentral:lncRNA from 1 species
GAGGAAGCAGGGUCCCUGCCGAGCAGAGAGCCCGAUGCGAGUCUCCAUCCCAGGACCCUGGGAUCAUGACCCGAGCCGAAGGCAGAGGCUUCAACCCACUGAGCCACCCAGAUUUCUGCCUUACCUGAUGGAUUUGACUCUGGGUCAGCAGAAGAGACACAGCUCAGCACCAACAAGGUGUCAAGGUAUGACACUGAGUGAGGACUGAGGGGAGAAUCCACCCCAAAAGAAGGGGCAACAGAGAGAUUUCAAUACACGCCCCCCCCCCCGCCCCCGGCUGUCAGUCUUGGAAGGUCCCAGUGAUGGCUGCUCAGCUCUACUCCCACCUUACUUCCUACUGGGGGUUCUGAGGGAAAUGAAAGCCUUGGUCUGAUGUGAGCUAACUUCAUCAGAGGAAGAAGUCCCAGACCCUGCAAGUCAGGAGUCAGAAAGGAACCCUGUUUGACUUCUGCAUAGUUCUUCCACCACCAGUACUGAGGGGAGUCCUCCAGAAACCCACGCGAGAUUUUAUGCUAGGAAGGCCAGAUGGGUGUGGCCGGAAGUGCUCACCCUGACUUCCGCUACAUGCGCAGUGGAGCCUGAGUUCGUUUGAGACGUGGAGAGGUGUGGUCUCACACCAGCAAAGGAGGAGUGCCAGGAGUGGACAGUUGUCAAGGUGAGUAACUUGCUAGGCCUGAAAGGGGUACACUCCUUUCAGAAUUGAGGUUCCCCAAAGAGCCUGGUCCAAU